CGGAGUGGACGCAUCACUGGUGUUCGGGUUGUCAUGCCAAUGGCACUGCCCGGUAGCUAAAUGCGGAAGAGAUAAGUGCUGAAAGCAUCUAAGCACGAAACUUGCCCCGAGAUGAGUUCUCCCUGACUCUUUAAGGGUCCUGAAGGAACGUUGAAGACGACGACGUUGAUAGGCCGGGUGUGUAAGCGCAGCGAUGCGUUGAGCUAACCGGUACUAAUGAACCGUGAGGCUUAACCUUACAACGCCGAAGCUGUU
rnacentral:rRNA from 1 species